rnacentral:tRNA from 1 species
GGGGAUAUAGCUCAGUGGUAGAGUGCUUGCUUAGCAUGUGAGAGGCCCUGGGUUAAAUCCCAGGUACCACAA